AGUGAACGCUGGCGGUAGGCCUAACACAUGCAAGUCGAACGGCAGCACAGUAAGAGCUUGCUCUUACGGGUGGCGAGUGGCGGACGGGUGAGGAAUACAUCGGAAUCUACUUUUUCGUGGGGGAUAACGUAGGGAAACUUACGCUAAUACCGCAUACGACCUACGGGUGAAAGCAGGGGAUCUUCGGACCUUGCGCGAUUGAAUGAGCCGAUGUCGGAUUAGCUAGUUGGCGGGGUAAAGGCGCCCCAAGGCGACGAUCCGUAGCGGGUCUGAGAGGAUGAUCAGCAACCCGGGAAUGGAGACGCGGGCCAGACCCCUGCGGGAGGCAGGGGUGGGGAAUAUGGAAAAAGGGGCGCAGGCCUGAGCCGCCCAACCCGGGGGGGGAAAAAGGGCCUGCGGGUUGUAAGCCCCUUUGUUGGGGAAAAAAGAGCAGGAGGUUAAAACCCCGGUUUUUUGCCGUUCCCCAAAAAAUAAGCACGGGCAAAUCGCGG
rnacentral:rRNA from 1 species